rnacentral:rRNA from 1 species
GUGGGGAAUAUUGGACAAUGGGCGCAAGCCUGAUCCAGCCAUGCCGCGUGAGUGAUGAAGGCCUUAGGGUUGUAAAGCUCUUUCACCGAUGAAGAUAAUGACGGUAGUCGGAGAAGAAGCCCCGGCUAACUUCGUGCCAGCAGCCGCGGUAAUACGAAGGGGGCUAGCGUUGUUCGGAUUUACUGGGCGUAAAGCGCACGUAGGCGGUUUGUUAAGUCAGAGGUGAAAUCCCGGAGCUCAACUCCGGAACUGCCUUUGAUACUGGCAAGCUAGAGUCCGGAAGAGGUAAGUGGAACUCCUAGUGUAGAGGUGGAAUUCGUAGAUAUUAGGAAGAACACCAGUGGCGAAGGCGGCUUACUGGUCCGGAACUGACGCUGAGGUGCGAAAGCGUGGGGAGCAAACAGGAUUAGAAACCCCAGUAGUCC